GAUGAACGCUGACAGAAUGCUUAACACAUGCAAGUCAACUUGAACUUCGGUUUGGGUGGCGGACGGGUGAGUAACGCGUAAAGAACUUUCCUCACAGAUAGGGACAACAUUUGGAAACGAAUGCUAAUACCUGAUAUUAUGAUUUUAGGGCAUCCUAGGUUUAUGAAAGCUAUAUGCGCUGUGAGAGAGCUUUGCGUCCCAUUAGCUAGUUGGAGAGGUAACGGCUCACCAAGGCGAUGAUGGGUAGCCGGCCUGAGAGGGUGAUCGGCCACAAGGGGACUGAGACGCAGCACUUACGACUACGGGAGGCAGGAGGGGGGAAUAUUGGACAAUGGACGAAGAGUCUGAUCCAGCAAUUCUGUGUGAAAGAUGAAGUUUUUCGGAAUGUAAAGUGCUUUCAGUUGGGAAGAAAAAAAUGACGGUACCAACAGAAGAAGCGACGGCUAAAUACGU
rnacentral:rRNA from 1 species